rnacentral:sRNA from 1 species
UGUGACUCCUGUUCCAAACUACAUGAUGGUGCAUGAGAAAGUGUCUUGGACAUGAGGAUAGAUGCCUCCACCAAUCCCACCAAUCCACUCUCCCCAUGCCAGCCUACCUCUUUCUCUUUUCCUGUGCUGUUCUUGCCCCUUGUUUCUGUCUCUUUAAAUUGCCUCGUCUCUAAAACUUUACUCUUUCCUAUGAUCAUUAAUGCCAUCCUCACUUUGUAUUUUUCUACCAUUUAUAUCUACCUUACCUGGGAUUCUUAAAGCACUUAUGAAGAUAAGAUAUUUAUUUAUUUAUUUACUUAUUGAGACAGAGUUUUGCUCUGUCACCCAGGCUGGAGUGCAGUGGCGCAAUCUUGGCUCACUGCAACCUCUGCCUCCCAGGUUCAAGCGAUUCUCCUGCCUCAGCCUCCCAAGUAGCUGGUAUUACAGGUGUGGGCCACCACGCCCAGCUAAUUUUUGUAUUCUUUGUAGAGACAGGUUUUCAUGAUCUUGGCCAGGCAGGUCUCAAACUUCUGACCUCAGGUGAUCGGCCCAUCUCGGCCUCGCAAGGUGCUGGGAUGACAGGUGUGAGCCACCUCGUCCUACCGGCAUAUUUAUUUUUUAAUAGACCCACCUUCCUCAUUUAAUUGAAAGCUCUGUGGGCAAAAACUGUCUGAUUUCCCUCUGCACCUCCCCACAGUAGCCUCUGUAGGGACUGGCACACAGCAAGUUUCCAUUAACAUCUAUUGAAUGGAAUUGAUACCAAAUAUAUAAUUCCAUUUCGUUGCAGCGAAUCUUUUCUUAUCUCCAGGCCUGGUAAGUGGCUCCCAUGUCUAAAGAAGGCGAGACCCUUGCUUCCUCUGUCAUGACUUCCGAUCUUCAGUGGUUCCAACCCAGAGAUGGGACUCUUCCCUUUGGAGUCCUCUGGGUUGUAGAGCUUCUGCAAAAAAACAUGGUCCUCAGCCAAACUAUCUUUGCCAGGGUAUUUGCUUUUUAAGACAAUGCUUUUAUUCUUUGAUGGUUGCUUCCUCAGAGUCAUUAGCUGAUUUCUUUACCUUUCGUCUCCCACCAGAACCUCUGGCCAUGAUUCAUUUGAGAAAUAUUUAUUGAGUACCUAUCUACCCUGUGCAUUUGUAGCCCCUGGGAAUAUAGAAGCAAACAAGACAUGAGAGUCUCUGCUGCAUGAAGCCUGCAUUCCAGUGGAGUCUAGUGGUGCUCUUGAUACCUCAUUUGUAUCUUUGUGAUAGGUCACAUCUAUAAAGACGCAAGUGUUCAGAAUAAAGGAUGUGAGAGGGUCCUUCUUUAUGCCCUUCUGAUCACAUCUGGAAGAUAUGAUUAGUAAUCAGCCCCACUUUUUAAAAGGAACUUGACAAAUCAGGCACACUACAGUAGUGAUUCCCAACUUGGGAUCAUUUUGCACCAGCCCCUGCCACCCCAGCCAAAGACCUUUACAAUCUCUACAGACAUUUUUGGUUGCCACAAUCUAGGGGAAGAGUCUCUGACACCUAGUGGUAGAGGCUCAGGAAAGCUGCUAAACAUCCUAUAAUGCACAAGACAGCUCCUGAUAACAAAUAAUUAUCUGCCCCAAAAUGUCAAUAGGGUACCUGUUGAUAAUCUCUGUACUAGAGGAAGAGAACUGAGUCAUAAGAACACCCUGGUCCUCAAUUGUCUUGGAGAAAGUGAGGGCCAUGGUGUGUCAAACGAAAUAAAUUUACCACAAGGGACUCUAAACUGGUAGAACUCAAGGAAAAUGAGAAAAUGCAUGGGCUAUGUGGGAAGGUAAUGAGCUCUCUGUCACUGGAAGUAUCCUAGCAGAAGUUGGGAAGCCACUCUACAGGGAUGCUAAGAAGAGCAUUCAAAUUCUAGCAUCUGGGAGCAUGAGGACAUUCAGGCUGGGUCUGUCACCCCAAAGACAGUUUUAUUAUGCAACAGGCCCCAGCACGCAGAAUGUGACAGGGCCAGGGAAUGGGAGUGAUCAUUUCUGGCUCACUUCCCCCUCUCUCCUCUCCCCUCCAGGUCGGUCCUGUCAGCCUUCUGGCCAUCGGGGUCCUCACUGUGCACUGCAUGGUCAUCCUGUUGAACUGUGCUCAACACCUCAGCCAGAGACUGCAAAAGACUUUUGUGAACUAUGGAGAGGCCACGAUGUACAGCCUUGAAACCUGCCCGAACACCUGGCUGAGGACCCAUGCAGUGUGGGGAAGAUGGAGUUUGGCUCUGUCGCCCAGGCUGGAGUGCAGUGGCAAGAUCUCAGCUCACUGCAACCCCCACCUUCAGGGUUCAAGCACUUCUGCCCAAGCCUCCCGAGUAGCUGGGAUUUACAGGUACACUGUCAGCUUCUUAUUAGUCAUCACCCAGCUGGGCUUCUGCAGUGUUUAUUUUAUGUUUAUGGCAGACAAUUUGCAACAGAUGGUGGAAGAAGCCCACGUGACCUCCAACAUCUGCCAGCCCAGGGAGAUUCUGACGCUGACCCCCAUCCUGGACAUUCGUUUCUACAUGCUGAUAAUCCUGCCCUUCCUGAUCCUGUUGGUGUUUAUCCAGAACCUCAAAGUGCUGUCUGUCUUCUCGACAUUGGCCAACAUCACCACCCUGGGGAGCAUGGCUCUGAUCUUUGAGUAUAUCAUGCAGGGGAUUCCAUAUCCCAGCAACCUACCCUUGAUGGCAAACUGGAAGACCUUCUUGCUGUUCUUUGGUACAGCCAUCUUCACAUUUGAAGGUGUCGGUAUGGUUCUGCCUCUCAAAAACCAGAUGAAGCAUCCACAGCAGUUUUCUUUUGUUCUGUACUUGGGGAUGUCCAUUGUCAUCAUCCUCUAUAUCUUACUGGGGACACUGGGCUACAUGAAGUUUGGGUCAGACACCCAGGCCAGCAUCACCCUCAACUUGCCCAAUUGCUGGUUGUACCAGUCGGUCAAGCUGAUGUACUCUAUUGGCAUCUUCUUCACCUAUGCCCUCCAGUUCCACGUCCCAGCUGAGAUCAUCAUCCCGUUUGCCAUCUCCCAAGUGUCAGAGAGCUGGGCACUGUUUGUAGACCUGUCUGUCCGCUCAGCCUUGGUCUGCCUAACCUGUGUCUCAGCCAUCCUCAUUCCCCGCCUGGACCUGGUCAUCUCCCUGGUGGGCUCCGUGAGCAGCAGCGCCCUGGCCCUCAUCAUCCCAGCCCUCCUGGAGAUCAUCAUCUUUUACUCUGAGGACAUGAGCUGUGUCACCAUUGCCAAGGACAUCAUGAUUAGCAUCCUGGGCCUUUUAGGGUGUAUAUUUGGGACAUACCAAGCCCUCUAUGAGUUGACCCAACCCAUCAGCCAUUCCAUGGCCAACUCCACAGGUGUCUAUGCAUAAUUAUCUGUUUUUAUUCUAAUAGCUCUCCCUUCCUCCCACCCCCAAUUUGACUUCCAUGUGGAUGUUAUAUACCUUCAUCAAAUCCCAACAUCUCUAUAUUAAUUAGUGGCUUCUUUAUCUUUCCAAGAGAAAUGCAGAUGGGAAAAGUUAGCACUGAUGUCUCUCAGGCUACACCUUUUUUGGUUUUAUAUUUUUUGGAUGGCCUUUUGUACCUCUGAACCAAAAUUAGAUUCAACUAUUCAUAU